UUACCGGUUUGAAAGGACUGAAAGUUAGCAAUACACAGGUGCUGCAUGGCUGUCGUCAGCUCGUGCCGUGAGGUGUUGGGUUAAGUCCCGCAACGAGCGCAACCCUGCAUUAGUUGCCAUCAUAUGGGACUCUAAUGGACUGCCUACGCAAUAGGAGGAAGGCGGGGAUGACGUCAAGUCCUCAUGGCCCUUACACCGGGCCACACACGUGCUACAAUGGACUACAUGGGGCACCGCGAGGGAAGCAAUCCCAAAAGUGUCUCAGUUCGGAUUGGAGUCUGCAACUCGACUCCAUGAAGCUGGAAUUGCUAGUAAUCGCGAUCAGCACGCGCGGUGAAUACGUUCCCGGGCCUUGUACACACCGCCCGUCAAGCCAUGGAAGCUGGAGACCGAA
rnacentral:rRNA from 1 species